rnacentral:rRNA from 1 species
AACGAACGCUGGCGGCAGGCUUAACACAUGCAAGUCGAACGCCCCGCAAGGGGAGUGGCAGACGGGUGAGUAACGCGUGGGAACAUACCCUUUCCUGCGGAAUAGCUCUGGGAAACUGGAAUUAAUACCGCAUACGCCCUACGGGGGAAAGAUUUAUCGGGGAAGGAUUGGCCCGCGUUGGAUUAGCUAGUUGGUGGGGUAAAGGCCUACCAAGGCGACGAUCCAUAGCUGGUCUGAGAGGAUGAUCAGCCACAUUGGGACUGAGACACGGCCCAGACUCCUACGGGAGGCAGCAGUGGGGAAUAUUGGACAAUGGGCGCAAGCCUGAUCCAGCCAUGCCGCGUGAGUGAUGAAGGCCUUAGGGUUGUAAAGCUCUUUCGUCCGGGACGAUAAUGACGGUACCGGAAGAAGAAGCCCCGGCUAACUUCGUGCCAGCCGCCGCGGUAACAC